rnacentral:rRNA from 1 species
GGGAAUAUUGCACAAUGGGGGAAACCCUGAUGCAGCGACGCCGCGUGAGUGAAGAAGUAUUUCGGUAUGUAAAGCUCUAUCAGCAGGGAAGAAACCCACCCUCCGGGGUGGCUGACGGUACCUGACUAAGAAGCCCCGGCUAACUACGUGCCAGCAGCCGCGGGAAUACGUAGGGGGCAAGCGUUAUCCGGAUUUACUGGGUGUAAAGGGAGCGUAGGUGGCAAGGCAAGUCAGAUGUGAAAACCCGGGGCCAAGCCCCGGGAGUGCAUUUGAAACUGUCUGGCUAGAGUGCAGGAGAGGUAAGUGGAAUUCCUAGUGUAGCGGUGAAAUGCAUAGAUAUUAGGAGGAACACCAGUGGCGAAGGCGGCUUACUGGACUGUAACUGACACUGAGGCUCGAAAGCGUGGGGAGCAAAC